GAUGAACGCUGGCGGCGUGCCUAAUACAUGCAAGUCGAGCGAACAGACGAGGAGCUUGCUCCUCUGACGUUAGCGGCGGACGGGUGAGUAACACGUGGAUAACCUACUUAUAAGACUGGGAUAACUUCGGGAAACCGGAGCUAAUACCGGAUAAUAUAUUGAACCGCAUGGUUCACUAGUGAAAGACGGUUUUGCUGUCACUUAUAGAUGGAUCCGCGCCGCAUUAGCUAGUUGGUAAGGUAACGGCUUACCAAGGCGACGAUGCGUAGCCGACCUGAGAGGGUGAUCGGCCACACGGGAACUGGGACACGGUCCAGACUCCUACGGGAGGCAGCAGUAGGGAAUCUUCGGCAUUGGGCGAAAGCCUGACGGAGCAACGCCGCGUGAGUGAUGAAGGUCUUCGGAUCGUAAAACUCUGUUAUUAGGGAAGAACAAAUGUGUAAGUAACUAUGCACGUCUUGACGGUACCUAAUCAGAAAGCCACGGCUAACUACGUG
rnacentral:rRNA from 1 species